CGGGUGAGUAACACGUGGAUAACCUACCUAUAAGACUGGGAUAACUUCGGGAAACCGGAGCUAAUACCGGAUAAUAUUUUGAACCGCAUGGUUCAAAAGUGAAAGACGGUCUUGCUGUCACUUAUAGAUGGAUCCGCGCUGCAUUAGCUAGUUGGUAAGGUAACGGCUUACCAAGGCAACGAUGCAUAGCCGACCUGAGAGUGUGAUCGGCCACACUGGAACUGAGACACGGUCCAG
rnacentral:rRNA from 1 species